GUCUGAUGGAGCACGCCGCGUGAGUGAAGAAGGUUUUCGGAUCGUAAAACUCUGUUGUUAGAGAAGAACGUACUUGGUAGUAACUGGCCAGGUAGUGACGGUAUCUAACCAGAAAGCCACGGCUAACUACGUGCCAGCAGCCGCGGUAAUACGUAGGUGGCAAGCGUUAUCCGGAUUUAUUGGGCGUAAAGCGAGUGCAGGCGGUUUCUUAAGUCUGAUGUGAAAGCCUUCGGCUUAACCGAAGAAAUGCAUUGGAAACUGGGAAACUUGAGUGCAGAAGAGGAGAGUGGAACUCCAUGUGUAGCGGUGAAAUC
rnacentral:rRNA from 1 species